AUUGAACGCUGGCGGCAUGCCUUACACAUGCAAGUCGAACGGCAGCACGGGAGCAAUCCUGGUGGCGAGUGGCGAACGGGUGAGUAAUAUAUCGGAACGUGCCCAGUCGUGGGGGAUAACGCAGCGAAAGCUGUGCUAAUACCGCAUACGAUCUACGGAUGAAAGCGGGGGAUCGCAAGACCUCGCGCGAUUGGAGCGGCCGAUAUCAGAUUAGCUAGUUGGUGGGGUAAAAGCCCACCAAGGCGACGAUCUGUAGCUGGUCUGAGAGGACGACCAGCCACACUGGAACCGAGACACGGUCCAGACUCCUACGGGAGGCAGCAGUGGGGAUUUUUGGACAAUGGGCGCAAGCCUGAUCCAGCAAUGCCGCGUGCAGGAUGAAGGCCUUCGGGUUGUAAACUGCUUUUGUACGGAACGAAACGGCUCUUUCUAAUAAAGAGGGCUAAUGACGGUACCGUAAGAAUAAGCACCGGCUAACUACGUGCCAGCAGCCGCGGUAA
rnacentral:rRNA from 1 species